GAUGAAGAACGUAGUGAAAUGCGAUAAGUAAUGCGAAUUGCAGAAUUCAGUGAAUCAUCGAAUCUUUGAACGCACCUUGCACCCUUUGGCAUUCCGAAGGGUAUGCUCGUUUGAGUGUCAUUGUACUCUCACACUCCCACUCUUUUGGAUUGGGAGCGGUGGACUUGGGUGUUGCUGCUUCACUGUGGCUCGCCUCAAAUGGAGUAGUGCAACUCUCGGUUGGACAUAGUACGGCGUGAUAAGUGUCUUCGCCGGCGCCUCACUAGAGGGUGGCCGAUCGGGAGCUCUGUGCUUCAAACCGUCUUCGGACAAUCUCUGACAACUUGACCUCAAAUCGAGUAGGACUACCCGCUGAACUUAAGCAUAUCAAUAAGCGGAGGA
rnacentral:misc_RNA from 1 species